rnacentral:rRNA from 1 species
UACAGAGGGGGCAAGCGUUAUUCGGAAUUAUUGGGCGUAAAGAGCUCGUAGGCGGUGUGUCACGUCGGCCGUGAAAACCUGCAGCUUAACUGUGGGCGUGCGGUCGAUACGGGCAUCACUGGAGUUCGGCAGGGGAGACUGGAAUUCCUGGUGUAGCGGUGAAAUGCGCAGAUAUCAGGAGGAACACCGGUGGCGAAGGCGGGUCUCUGGGCCGAUACUGACGCUGAGGCACGAAGGCCAGGGGAGCAAACGGG